ACUGCAACUGCAAAGUAUUCUAGCAGCUCCAAUGCAUUAUCUCCAUUCCAACUCCAAUGGGACCCUUCAUGCCAUUUGCGGCUAAAUAGCCCUUGCACCAGAACAGCGAAAGUCACUACAGCAAAGGCAAGGCCUAUCUUGCCGAUAAUGGUUGCCACUCCAUUCAAUUUCACCUGCAAUGGGGUUUCAUCAUCUCCUCCUUCACUGAGAGUUGCCAUUAAUUUACCCCAUUGGGUUCUCAUCCCAACAGUGGUAACCAAC
rnacentral:misc_RNA from 1 species